rnacentral:tRNA from 1 species
AGGAUAAUAGUUAAAUUAACAUUUAAAUUGCAAUUAAAAAAUAUUGAAUAUCAAUUUAUCUUA